AUGUCCGUUAUCUCUGCCAGGAAGACAAGCCAAGUUAUCCUUCAGACAGGAAAUGGGAUGUUGGUGGUGGCCCCAAGAAGUGCACAGACUCUGAACUGGAAGAUGAGAGACCACUGUGGAAGGGAUCCAGAGACAAAUGAACAGAACUGGUGUCAGUAUUCUGUGCUCCUGAGACACCUGAGCUCAUCUCCAAGGACUUUCUACCACUUCAUUUUGGAAACAACCUAAAUGUCCAUUGACAGAGGAGUGGAUCCAGAAGAUGUGGUACAUAUACACAAUGGAAUAUUACGCAGCCAUCAAAAAGAACGAAAUACCAGCAUUUUUAGCAACAUGGAUGGACCUAGAAACUGUCAUGCUAAGUGAAGUCAGCCAUACAAUGAGACACCAACAUCAAAUGCUUUCACUGACAUGUAGAAUUUGAAAAAAGGACAGACGGAACUUCUUUGCAGAACAGAUGCUGACUCACAGACAUUGAAAAACUUAUGGUCUCUGGAGGAGACAGUUUGGGGGGUGGGGGAAUGUGCUUGGGCUGUGGGAUGGAAAUCCUGUGAAAUCAGAUUGUUAUGAUCAUUAUACAACUACAGAUGUGAUAAGCUCAUUUGAGUAAUAAAAAAAAAAAAGAAUAUUACAAGUCAAAUGUCCCUCUUUGAUAUUGGACUAUUUUGAGUUAAAAGCCAUUAAGAACAAGUAAAUGCAGGGAAAGUUCCAAAAACAGACAUAAGGAGUUCCUGUCGUGGCUCAGCAGAAACAAAUCUGACUAGCAUCCAUGAGGGCACAAGUUUGAUCCCUGGCCUCACUCAGUAAGUUAAGGAUUUAGUAUGGCUGUGAGCUGUGGUGUAGGUUGCAAAUGUGGCUUGGAUCUCACGUUGCUGUGUCUGUGGUCUAGGGCAGCAGCUACAGCUCCGAUUCAACCCCUAGCCUGGGGACCUCUAUGUGCCACGGGGGCACCCCAAAAAGCAAAAAAUCCAAAAAACAAAAAAACCA
rnacentral:lncRNA from 1 species